UACAACGCAAUACGCCAUUUUCGCCAUA
rnacentral:sRNA from 1 species